GGGGCCCGCACAAGCGGUGGAGUAUGUGGUUUAAUUCGAUGCAACGCGAAGAACCUUACCUGGUCUUGACAUCCCGGAGACCCUUAGGAAACUAGGGGGUGCUUCCAUCUGGAAGAAUCUGGAGACAGGUGCUGCAUGGCUGUCGUCAGCUCGUGUCGUGAGAUGUUGGGUUAAGUCCCGCAACGAGCGCAACCCUUGCCUUUAGUUGCCAGCAGUUCGGCUGGGCACUCUAAAGGGACUGCCGGUGUUAAACCGGAGGAAGGUGGGGAUGACGUCAAGUCCUCAUGGCCUUUAUGACCAGGGCUACACACGUACUACAAUGGCCGAUACAAAGGGCAGCGACACUGCGAGGUGAAGCCAAUCCCGUAAAAUCGGUCUCAGUCCGGAUUGGAGUCUGCAACUCGACUCCAUGAAGUUGGAAUCGCUAGUAAUCGUGGAUCAGCAUGCCACGGUGAAUACGUUCCCGGGCCUU
rnacentral:rRNA from 1 species